rnacentral:misc_RNA from 1 species
AACUUCUUUCACAAGUUUAGCCUCUGACCUGAUUACUUGGGAAUCCAAUCCGCAUAUACUAGCUGCUUUCGUCAAGCCAGCCCUCCACCUGGGCACCUUUUCUAUUUUCUCAUUAAAGUUCUUCUCCAGUGCAUCUGCAAAACUCCCACUUUGUUCUUCUACCUCAGAUGGAUCUACAUGGUAGAAAAUUGGUAAAACAGUCUGUCCAUAAGUUCCCCUGCAUUCAAGUAUGUUCAACACUUCAUCCAAGCACCAUGGAGAAGAUGCGUAAUUUUUUGAGAAAACGAUUACAGAAAUCAUUGAUUCUUCAAUUGUUCUCAAAAG